rnacentral:pre_miRNA from 1 species
ACUUACAAAUAUCGCAUUGGCAUCAAAAGGUAUCUUUGCCAUCCGACAUUUGUGGUUGA